rnacentral:lncRNA from 1 species
UAUAAAUUGACCCAUCAAACUACAUGAGCACUUUUAGUUUGCUGCCUACGUGAUGAUAGCGCUAAAAUACUGUCGCGUCACGUUCUAUAUUUAUCAAUGUUUACAAAAUGAAGCGUUGUAACGGUUUCAUGUUCAUGAGAAAAACUGCAAAUAUUUUAAUGUUACCGUAAUUCUAGAAACUAUAAACUGAUCAACCAUUAUGUUUCAUGUAAAUAUAUGAAACAGUUGCGGCAUUUUACCUUUCGAUGAUAAAUUAUUUUAAAAAUUACAAUUCGCAAUGUGUGGAUUCGUCGCUUUAAUGCUAAACAUUUUGGAAUUUUAUUGUGUUUGAAGAUUGUUUUACCACAUAUUUGGAGAUAUUACAGCUAGUACAGAUAGCAACGGGUGAUAGACUGCUUCACUCAAGGAAAAUGUGGCCUUCGGUAUUGUUCAAGGACAGUUUCUAGAGGAUGAAAUAAAGGACUCGUGGUAAUACUAUACAGACCACCAUUAAGAUGAAUGCCAAGACAGCAGUAACAUCGGUCAAAUAAAUAAAACGAUGAGGAAUUCCAUAGGUGCUGUUUAACAUGUCAUUCUAAUGAUGUAACAAUUUUCAUGGAUCAUGGGAAAUGAAUAUUCUAUACAGAAGGACAGUGCAGGUUGUUGUAAUGCUAAAAAAACUGCUUGUUGGAUUGUCAUCGUUGAACUUCAUUACUAACGUCAAUCUUUUCACGCAUUUGAGACUGAACACUUAAUGUUUUCCAGUGAGAAAUGUUUCGGCACGGAAUUACGUACACUAAUAAUAUGGAGAAAAAAAAGGAUGAAAAACGUUUUUAACAUGAUCUAUAAUUUCAGUGUUGCAUUAAUUAUUUCCGUAUUGGAAACAUUCAAGAAGUAACAUUGCAGACUUGAUGUUUAUACGCGGUUCUUUUUAUUCUCGUGCCACUUUACAUAUUCGAAGUUUAUAAAGGUCCAUUUGAUUUCAAUAUAAUGUUUGUGAUUGAAUUGUGUAUUAAACUUCAAAUAAACUUCAUAGUUGCA